UACAGAGGGUGCGAGUGUUAAUCGGAAUUACUGGGCGUAAAGCGCGCGUAGGCGGCUUUGCAAGUCGGGUGUGAAAUCCCCAGGCUUAACCUGGGAACUGCAUUCGAGACUGCAUUGCUAGAGUAUGGGAGAGGGAAGUGGAAUUUCCGGUGUAGCGGUGAAAUGCGUAGAUAUCGGAAGGAACAUCAGUGGCGAAAGCGACUUCCUGGACCAAUACUGACGCUCAUGUGCGAAAGCGUGGGGAGCAAACAGG
rnacentral:rRNA from 1 species